rnacentral:miRNA from 1 species
UGUGGGCGUGGUGUGCAUGCGUUAUGGUGUUUGUGUCUGUACCACACACACACACACACACACACACACAUAACACACACACACAU